rnacentral:lncRNA from 1 species
UUUUUUAACUGCUGCCAUUACUGUUCGUCGUUCAACCGUUUUCGAUUGAAUUCCUUGAAUCGUGGAACGUGAUAGGGCUGCUUUAAUAACUGCUUUGAUAACUGCACUUCUUGAUAACCGCAACACUUUAUGUUUGCUAAGACCUUGGGCGAUUAGAAGGUUUGGACGAGAAUAGAGUAACAGCUCUGGGCGACUGCAUGGCACUCCAUUUGCUCAGAUUCUGGGCGACUUGCAAACUUGGGCGAUGGUGUUACCGCGUUCUUGGGCCUCCCUAUUUGGGCCUUCAUCUUGACUUGUUUGAUUAGACUUCGUUCUUUGGGCUAUCUGAUUUGGGGAUCCUCCAACUGGGCUUCAUUCCUUGGGUCGUUCGAUUUGGGCUGAAUUUUUAUGUGUCAACAAUUACCCCCCAAUAUGGCAGAAUUAAUACCAAUUAUUAAAUUUUGCCAUAUUCACUUUAUAUUUCCAGCAACAUUCGAAAUUUCCAAGAAUUUCAAUCAUUGUUUUCUUCCAUAACUUGAAAAGAUGCGACGUUUUGCAAACCCUUAUAACCCUAAACAUGUCAUUUCACUGCAUCAUUAAAUCACGCCUCACUUUUUCGCGUUUCUCUCCCACGAUUUACUAUUCAUCUUUUUGCUUCCCUACUACGUAACUCUGAAAAAACUAUGUUUCAUCCCUAAUGGCUACUUCACAAUCUCAAUCUGGCGACUCCUUUAGCUUUGAUGACUUUCAGAAACUUCUGAGUCGUCCAUACAUAACUCCGAGCUUUAUCGCGCCUGCCAAUGUCAAACUCAAUGAGUUCUACCUAGGUCAUUUCUUCAACAAUGCAGAGGCAGUCGAGCAGGCGGCGGUGGGCCAGCUGUUUCCUUGUACUCAAGGCCCUCCAUUUCUAAACUCUCUGUCGCUGAGGCCACUUCGCGAAAGAGGUAUUCGCACUUGGCCCAAAUCUGACGUAGUUUUUCGUAGGUGGCAUGCUCGCCUUGUGGAUCAUGGUCCUACUAAGGCACUUUUUGAUAAUGUUAGGAUUUCUGAUUUGUUAGAAAUCUCUAUUCAACCCCCUACUUUUGAUUCAACACUUUUUUCGAUCGCUCUAAAUUUUUGGUCUUCUGAAUAUAAUACCUUUGUUUUCCCUCUUGGCCCUAUGUCUAUUAUUUUAAGGGAUGUUGGGGCCCUAAUGAAUCUACCACCUUUGGGCGAUACCAUUUUUCCUGGUAUCUUGAUUUCUAGUGGCGCCCCAAAGUUUGGUAAAAACUACACCGAGUCUUAUUCAAGCCUUUAAGCCCUUCAUAACCAUUCGAGUGCUGAGCCUUCCCAUACUGAGCGAGUGUCCUUUCUUCUGGCUUGGCUUUGUAAAUAUGUUUUGUGUGUGCCAAUCAUAAAGCCCUCCCUGAGUUAUUUACCCAUAGCGCACGAAUUGGCGCGUGGCAGGCCUUUGAAUUUAUGUUCUUUCUUUUUGGCUGCCCUUUAUAGAGGCAUGACUUCUCUUCAAACUCAGUUGAAGAAUGGUGCAUCUCCCACUGGUAGUGGACCUCUUUGGUUCACUCAACUGUGGUUGAGAUCCUAUUUUCCAUUGCUUGGUGCUCCAUCAAUUUCUCGUUCUUCUGCUAGCUGCUAUGGGCUAGCCAUUGAGCCCUUGACUCCUGUAAAUAUGUCUAGAAGGGCAUUUUUUCGUUCUUUUAUUCUUUGGAUUCAAUCCCUUCCUUCUUUCCUUUUCCUCCUUUUUUGACUCCAAACUAUGUGCAUCCUCCCUCCACUAUAGACAGCGCGAGCACUUCUCUGCUCAUUUGGAUCCAAUUUUUAAUCGGGAGGGAGUUAUUUUAUGAUAUUUUAACUGGGACCAAUGCCAAGGCAGGGGUAGAAAUAUAUGCUCCCCAAUUUUUUGCUCGCCAACUUGGUUUCGACCAAACUUGGCCUGUUCCUCCUUGCUAUUCAAGGAACUUGAUUGACCGUUUCCAUAUUAUUAAUAAGGCAGAGGCAGAGGUUAUAAAUGCUCGCAAUCUUCUUGUAACAAGCUAUUUUUCAUUAGCCCCUUUCAAUUCUAGCCACGCCGUCCAUCCCCUUUUUGAACAGCUCUGGCCGUCAGUGAAGCGCAGAUUGUUUGCGACUGAUGUCAAUCGUGCCUUUCAUUCACUGGACCAGCCGAUCAUUUCUUCCCCUCCUCCUGUUUUAGUCACUCCUUUGUCUAUCCGGAGUCUUUCUCCUCCUCGUGGCGCUAAACAGUCUGCUUGUCCAUCUUCUUCUCUUCCUGCCAAACCUACUGCAGCCAAGAGUGCCCCAAGCCGCAAACGGUCAGCCUCAGCAUCUCCCAUUCUGGAGGAUGAUGUUGAUGAUGAUGAAGAUACCCCUCUUAUCAUCAGGAGGAAGGUAAUUAAAUUGGUUUACUCAUAAGCAUACUUUUCCAUACUUGAAACUUUUUUGUGUGCUGAUGAUUUAUUUGGACUUCUCAGAAAAGUUCAGCCUCUCAUUUAAAGGCUUUGGUAUCGGCAGCUCCUGCUCGAUCAUCCUCCGGUGAGGCUGCUUCAUCCAAACUAAUUGAUGAAGGGACUACGCUUAAAGAGACAUCUUCAGUCCCAGAAUCCUCAUCAAAACCAAUGGAUGAGCCACCUUCUUCCCAGGGCGUCAACCCCCCAAACAUCGAAGCAGAAGGUAAUUCAGUUUUUUGAUGCUUUACCUUUGCUUGUGCUAUUUGGUUUCUGAUUUGUUGCUUUUGAGUUUUGCAGAUGCUCCUAUGAGUCCGCCCGUUGUAGCAACAUCUUCUCGCUCAGACAAGGGGAAGUCCUCACGAAUGGUAGAGUCAUAGGUGGCAGACUUGGCUGAGGAUAUGCCAUCUUCCACGAUUAUUGAUGAGGUAAUUUUUGCUUCACUUUUAUUUCCAUCUUGUUCGUUGUAGUGUUCAAUAUUGGCAAUUUUCUUUGCAGGAUGCUGACAAGAUUUUGCGUUCCAUCCAAGACUUGUUCGCUUUCUGGGGGCAAGUCAAGACAUCUCGCCCUGCUCCAUCUGGUCGUCCUGCUACUUCUUCAGAGGAAGAUUUGAAGCUCCUCAAGCAGUCGAUUUUUGAGUACGUGUCUUUCAUGGAUAUGGACGUUGGUAAGGCUAGUGCUGUCAGACACAAGGAUAAGCUUGAGCAUUUGAAUGCAAAGUUGGAGCAAGCACUGACACUUUCGUCGCUCAAUCUUUCUGCCGAUUUUAAAGCGACGUUGAAAGUUAUCCAUUCCGAGGUCCUCUCCUUGCUGACCAAGAAUGCUGAACUAAAGGCCAAAAGUACUCAAUAUCUUCGCGCCGUAUCUGAAAAAGAGUCUUUGCGUCUGGAGAUCAACAAGGCUGAGGACGAGUUGAAAGAAAUCUCUUCCGAAGUCAUGAUUGAAGACUCUUUGAUGGUUAGUUUAGCUGCUCAGAUGAAGGAACUUCAGGCCAAAAUGGGCGACUGCAAGGCGAGAAUGGCUGCUAAAAAGCGCAACGCCUCCCAAGGAAUUGGGCGAACUAAGUCUUUGGUCGAGCAGUACAAGAAGUUGGAAGUUGAUGAUGAUUUCGUGGCUGAAUUGAACAUCACUUCCUCUCGGCAGAACGAGGAGUGGGAAAAGCUUAGGGAACGAAUUCGUUUAGUAUGGAGUGGAUUGUAAUUAAGACAUAUGACGCCUUAACUUUUCUUUUUGUAAUUUCGCAUUUGACUUUCCUUUUGUACCCUUGUUCAUCAUUAAUGAACAUAUAUGUUAACUUCUUAUGCAUUUAUUUGACGUUUGUCUUUUAAUCGCCAAUUUUUCAAGCAUUUAACUGCUUUGUGCUAAAAAUCUUGCACAUUUUCUCUUGAUAUUUCCACCUCUUUUCUCAAGACUUUGGGCUACUUAAUUCCAUUUACUAGGCAGAAUGUGACUGCUCAUAUUCUGUCUCUUCAUCUCCACCCCCUAUAAAUGCACGUAUGCUUCGCAUCUUCCAUCUUCCAUCUUCAUCUUCAUUUUCUUCUUCAAAACCAAUUUGUUGCCAUUGUUUGGCAUUCUGACAAUCAAUCUGAAACCUUCGUCUUUCUAUAAAAAUGGAUUGUUUGGUCCGCCCAUUUUACUAUUUGCCUUGAUGUCACCUUUGGUGUGGGAGGUAUAGGAAAUAUUUUUUGGCCAGCAGCACAGUUUUUACCAUCAAAGUUCUUCCCAUCGUCUCUUUGUCCUUUACAAGGAGUUCGAUGAUAGAAGGCAAUUUUUGGGAUGCUUGCGAGCCACCUUACUUGCUGAGAGUGCUUCUCAGCCUCUUUGCCCGCCAUUGCAGCGAUGCAUUUAGGAAGGUGGUGUGAGGCCAGUCCACCCUCUUACUCGACGAUCCCACCAUUGCAGCGAUGCAUUUAGGAAGGCGGUGCGAGGCCAGUCCACCCUCUUACUCGGCGAUCGACCGGGAGAUUAGCUUACUCUUAAUUGUAGUUAGUAGAGCAUCCAUUAUUUGUAUUUUUGCAUCUUUGUAAUGAACGUUUGAUAAUAAAGGACUUUAUUUGAACGUAUUUCGCUCUGACUUUGUUAUCCUUAAUCGUUCAACAUAUUUUGACUAUGCUUUUAUCUGCUCACAUUUCCAUAAAGAAUGAACAUAUUUUUUCAAAUAUUUGUCGUUAAUGAAUCUCACGUGCUUGGUGCCAUCUAAAUCUUCCAAAUGAUACGUUCCAUUGGGCAACACACUGUUUAUUUUGUAUGGUCCUUCCCAAUUGGGCGACCACUUCCCGUACUUUGGAUCCUUGCUAUCCAAAGGGAGUAUCGUCUUCGAAACUAGUUCACCCAGACUGAACGACUUAGCUAUGACUUUUUUAUUAUAAAACUUAGUCAUUCUUUGUUUUUUGAACUUGCAAUCUAUCUAAGACGUCCAAUUUUAAUUCGUCCAACCCCAAUAAAUUUUUAACUAGUGAUUCUGUAUACUCCUCAUCAUUCAACUUAUGUUGCAAGCACACUCUAAUCGAUUACACGUUGAUUUCCAUAGGCAAAACGGCAUCUUGUCCAUAAGCAAGUUGGAAAAGAGUAACUUUGGUACUUGACCGAGGUGAUGUUCUAUAAGCCCACAAGGCCUUGUUCAGACAUUCGUGCCAAUUUCUGACAUUUNNNNNNNNNNNNNNNNNNNNNNNNNNNNNNNNNNNNNNNNNNNNNNNNNNNNNNNNNNNNNNNNNNNNNNNNNNNNNNNNNNNNNNNNNNNNNNNNNNNNNNNNNNNNNNNNNNNNNNNNNNNNNNNNNNNNNNNNNNNNNNNNNNNNNNNNNNNNNNNNNNNNNNNNNNNNNNNNNNNNNNNNNNNNNNNNNNNNNNNNNNNNNNNNNNNNNNNNNNNNNNNNNNNNNNNNNNNNNNNNNNNNNNNNNNNNNNNNNNNNNNNNNNUUAGUAAUACACCAUCAGAGCGUUUCUUAAACAAUUCUUCAUCUAUUAGUAUAUAGUUCAGCAAACACAGCUUCAUUUUCCUACUAAUCACUCCAUUAGGUUCUUUAAGGAACCUUUUAAUCUCUGUUCUCCAAUCCAUUGCAUCUCCAUCUUGUAUGCAGUCAAGUUCAAUCUUCCUCGCCCUUCUUUGAGUCACGUGCAAUAUGAUUCCGUACUCACAAGUAGACUUCCAAUUCAAAACCUUUGAGUACCCUAAAACCAUUUGGGCUAACUCAUUUACCACGUCGUUAUAUAUCCUACUAACGCAUUGAAGUUCUACUUGGUCGAAUUCUUCUAACAAUUCUUGGACGAUCUCAUAUUGACUUAUAAUGGAAUCACUUUGGCAUUUAAAAUCACCAAUCAAUUGGUGGAUUACCAAUUGAGAAUCGCCCCCUAACGAUCACAUUUCUUACUCCCAUAUCUAUCAUUAGUUCUAGGCCUACAAUUAAGGCUUCAUAUUCGGCCUGAUUGUUGGUGCACAUUCUGUCUAAAGUGAAUGCGAACUUGUAGCAAAUCCCUAAAGGAUUAAUCAAUGCUACUCCUACUCCUGCACCUUUAGAGGUUUUUGACCCAUCGAAAUACAACACCCAAGGUUUUAGCUCGAACGAAUUGAUUUCUAAUUCAAUUUCUUCAGGCAUGUCAAGGCAUGGAUAUUGGACAACCAUUCGACAUAUCUGGCUGUUCUAAUAAAACCUGUUUUCAAUAAUCGCUCUAUCUCUUUCUUAAUUUCAGGGAGUACAUUAGAAGCAAAACGUCUAGGAGGCUGCCUAUGAGGUUUAAAAUUAGGCUUAGUUGGUAACCUAUGUUCCACCAAGUCUCUAUCUAAACCAGGCAUUUGUUCAUAUUCCCAAACAAAACAAUCUUUAUACUCCUUUAACAAAGCGAUUAAUUUAUCACUAACCUCUUGAUCGAGCAUUUGGCUGAUGAAUGUUGGACGAUCUUCUCCUUCAUUGUCAAUAUUUACUUUGAUCAGAGGGUCUUGUAUUUGAGCGUAUCCAGGUUUGAUGAUCCGCAUCACUUCGUCAUCCAGUUCCCUUGUAAGUACUUCUUCUUCUAAACAGUCCACCUUGUUGACUUCUUGGCCAAUGCUUUGUUCUAACUCGAAUACUGCUAAUUUGUCCUUCAGCGCUUUCAGGGCUGUCUCUUCUUUCGUCUUGUCAUUGCAUUCCUUAUUGAAAGCCAUUAGUCUGGCUUUGAAGGCCUGAAUAUCGACCAUUUGCUUUUGUAACUUAGAAUCCAUUCAAGACUCCUUGAUUAUUCUUUUGCUAAUUACUGGCUCUUCUAGGGCCACUAUAUUUGGCCUCAUCUGUCUAAACAUUUCAGUGAGUGCGUCCACUGAAAAUGGCUCUUCGCUUUGCGCGAUAACUUAAGUUUCUUCCCCAUCUUGUACUACCCUGACAGGUCCAUAGUUUCCUUUGUACAUGAACUUUUCCACCGAGUUUGCUUCUGCGACAAAAGGCCUAUGAUCGGCCUGUACCACCUCUGCUUCGCCUUUGUUAUUCCAAAAGAUCAGGCAUUGAUGGAGUGAUGAGGGUAUACAGUGACUUCCGUGUAUCCAAUCUCUUCCUAAUAAUACAUUGUAACUAGUAUGACCAUCUAUUACAAAGAAGACUGUAGUCCUAGUAGUCGUCCCUAUAGUUAUGUCGAAUGGCAUAACUCCAUUAGUUGAAGUUGCUCCUCCGUUGAAACUCGUAAGGAUAACUUUUGUUGGAAUCAUGUCACCCUCUGUUUUUGCAAACUUCCUCAUCAUCCUAGAUGGAAUGGUGUUUAUAGCUGCUCCAUUGUCGACAAGCACUUUUGCCACAGGGAUGCCGUUAACUAGAGUUUUAACGUAUAAUGGCCUCAAGUGUUUACAAUUUCAUGACUAGCCGUUUAAAAAUAACUUUUUCGACAGCCUCUAUUUCUACUUCCUGCUUGUUUUCUGUCGAAUUAUCUCCCUGUGAUAAGUCGACGUGCAGCAUAUCGCGCUGAUCCUCUGUCUCCUAAAUUUUCUUCUUACUUUUUUCUAAUGCUUCCUCAUCAGUUACCCAACCUGUGGGAGAGGGCAUUAUUCUUGGAGGUGAUCCAUACUUUUUAGAGCGAGGCACUCUCUUCUUCCUUUUUGGUGUCCCGUACAGUACGUAGAAAUCGAAAGGACGCCCAGAUGGUUCUCCCAACAAGUCUACUUCGCGAACUCCCUCUCGAUGUAGUUGCUUCAACAGAGUAUUGCACGAUGCUCCUCUCCUUCUUCCUUCUGCUUCUAGGUCUAUUUCUUCUUCAAUGUCUGUCAUCCCGUCGUCUUCUUCAUCAUUGUAGACCUCUCUAGAAGUCUGGCCUUCUUCACAUUCCAGCACGCAAGCUUCUCCUUCGUUGUCCUCCCUUUCUUCUUCUUUUUCUUUAUUCUUGAAUUCAUUGGCCAGUAAGUAAUUAUUGGCCACGAAGGGAGGUAACGUACCGAACUGGAUAGUAAGGGGCUGAUCUGGAUCUUCUCCAUCCCUUCUAUCCCGCUCAAACUUUGAUCUCCCAGAAGAAGUUUCUGACAGCUCUUUCAUUGAUUCAUCUGUACCGAUUUCUUCACUAUCCUUGAGAACAUUUUGAUUGGCUAUCUUGAGUAGUUUAGGCGCUUUAGGAUGUGGCACUCCCUGUUGCUGCCUCAUCAUUCGUCCAUAGUUUCGUUGGAAUCGCCUUUGUUGGGUUCUAGUCAUCUCAUCGAAGGGUACUGCUCUUCCUGCAUUAUACUGGAACGAAUGCCAUACAUUUGGCCGGCGAGGUUGCGGCCUGAAUGUUCUCCCAUUAUCUGCUGGCCUGAACUGCCUCUCAAAAGGCGGUCCUCUAUAGAAUGAUGUACCUCGCCCUCUACCAGGCUGAGUGUUUGGAAAGAAAGUAGGGCGAUGGGGAUGCUGCCAUAUCCCUGGUUUCUCCGUGUUCCCACUCACUUCUCUUUUACAUCUUGCACACAGGACGUCUUCGUCCUUUUUUGGUUCUUUCCCCUUGAUUCGUUUAAAGACACUGGGAUGUGGUCUAUGGUCCUCUUCUCCAUCAUCUAUGACUAACUUGAAUUUUGGCAACUUGUUUUUGAAACCAGACGUCACCAUGUUCACUCCAAGUGGCUGUGGAAAAGGAUUUUCAUCCACUGCCAUCUUCUUCUUAUCAUCGAACGUAAUUCGUCCUGAUUCAAUGGCAUCCUGCAAUACAUGGCAAAAAACCAAGCAAUUGUUAGUCAAAUGUGACCAUGCAUUAUGCCACUUACAAUAUUUUUUACCCUUAAUUUGUUUAGGGUUCGGCAAUUUAUGCUUAUCGCUCAACUUUAUCUGCUGAUCCCUAUAUAAUUUAUCAAAUAUAAGGUCAGCUUUGGUUAUAUCGAACGAGAACGUUCUAGCCUUUAUGUUUCCAUCUUUUAUGGGCUCAUCUUUACCCGAUGGUCUAGGCUUGGCCAUUAUGGGACAAGUAUACGUAUCUCCUUUGACCAAUUCGGCCAAACACAUUUCAGCCUGAUCGUAUGACUCGUCGCUGAUGGUGUGAACGUCAAAAUUUGGGUCUUUAUAAUAAGUCCCUUUACUAGAAUUUUUCAUCUGUUCUUCCUCUCUUAUCAGUCGUUCAUACCUAAUCACAUUCGCACUCAACUGGAAAAGGUCAGGAAAUUUCUUGUCCUGGAAUUUCUUUUUUAAAUCAAAGCUCAAGCAGCCCUGAGCGAUUUUGACAAAUUCUUUUUCGGGCAGAGGUACAAAACACUUGCUUCUUGCUGUCUUGAACCUUUGGAGAAAACUUUCUGCCCAUUCGUUUGGCAUUUGACGUAGAUUCGCCAAAUCAGCCAAAGUGACUUCAGACUUAGUUUUAUAAAACUGAGCGUUGAAUAACUGUUCCAAUUGUUACCAUAUUUGAACAGAGUUCGCUAGCAAGUUGAUGAACCAGGAGAAAGCUACUCCUGUUAAUGAACUAGGGAAAAGCCUCAUUUUAUGGUAAUCGGUUACAUCACCACUUUGUAAUGUGAAUCGCCCUAUGUGUUCUAGAGUAGACGCCUCUUCUAAAUCGGUAAACAGUGAGAAUUCUGGCACUUUAUACCCUCUAGGCCAUGGAUAUGCUUGGUCUACCCAAUCAGGAUAUGGCUUUGUGUAAGUCGGCCUAAUGACGGGACGCACCCCAAAAGCCAUCUGAUCCUGUACGAUUUUCAUAAUCUGAUUCCUCAACAUGACGUUGGGGUCAUAUGAAAUUCCUACAGGUUGGUUAACCGGUUGAUUUGCAUGAGGACCGAUAUUUGGUCCUUGAUUGGCAACAAAGUUACCAUGAUUAGGGCCAUUACCAUUAGCCUGGACAUCUAUUCCCUCAUUAAUACAUGGGGUAUUCUGUCCAUUGUUUAGGACAUUAUCUCUUAUAUUUGGAUUACCCCCCAAGUUAGGCGUACCACUACCAUUGUUCUGAUUUGGCACUGUAGUACCCCCUUGGUUUGAAGUAGAGGGACCAGAAAAUGGUUCUACCCCUUGAUUCGGAUUUAGGACUGAGGGAUUAUGUCCCACAAUUAUCCUAGUUUAAAAGUGAUUUACAAAAGGUAUAACCAGUUGACAAAUUUUUGGCCUACUAACUUAUUUAUUGUUUCGUUCAAAGUGUUUAGUUGUUUGGCCAUGUUGUCAUAAUGUGUAUUCCCAUUUUGGGUAAAUCUUUCCAUAUUAUGAAUACUUCGAAGAUUUACCUGUUCAAUGACAUCUUGUGUGAGUUCUCCAAGUAGUGCACGCAUGGUUCGAGGACACAACUCUGUCAUUGGUUCGUAACGACUGUUACUGCUCUGAUUCUGUCCAUCUGUUCGUGGAGAGGCAUGUUGCUCCUCAUAUCGCUCGAUCACAGACUGGACUCCUCCCUGACUUGCUGCUUCCUUAUCGGAUCUCUGAGGCAUAUUGUUUCACCUUUUGUAUUUUCAACACCAAACACCACUGUCUCACUGGACGUGCCAAAUUGUUUCGCGCGUGUUAGUCGCUAACAAUUAAAAGGGAUUAGACGAUUGUGUAAGGGACAAAUCUCUUGAGACAAAGUCCCAAAAAAAGGGGUGUUCUUUAUUGACGGUGACUUUACAAUUGGAAAUUAAAAACAGAAUGCCUCCAAGGGGCGCAAGCACACGAGUUACUGAAAGAAGUGUUUAAAUCUAAGUUAAAGAAUUUAAAAUUACAUGUUUUCUGUUCGAGAGUUUUUGAUUCGGUUCCUUUGCUCUAUGUCUUUUCUUCCUUUUAUACUCCCUGGAUGAUCUCUUUGUGAUCAACCGCCCUAAAACUGCUUGAUCGUUCUACAACUGCCCACUUUCCUCGUAAUGGCAAACUUGUCAUGGAACUGCCUUUUUUAACUGCUGCCAUUACUCUUCGUCGUUCAACCGUUUUCGAUUGAAUUCCUUGAAUCGUAGAACGUGAUAGGGCUGCUUUAAUAACUGUUUUGAUAAUUGCACUUCUUGAUAACCGCAACACUUUAUGUUUGCUAAGACCUUGGGCGAUUAGAAGGUUUGGGCGAGAAUUGAGUAACAGCUUUGGGCGACUGCAUGGCACUCUAUUCGCUCAGAUUCUGGACGACUUGCAAAUUUGGGCGAUGGUGUUACCGCGUUCUUGUGCCUCCCUAUUUGGGCCUUCAUCUUGACUUGUUUGAUUGUGUUUCGUUCUUUGGGCUAUCUGAUUUG